rnacentral:rRNA from 1 species
GACGAACGCUGGCGGCGUGCUUAACACAUGCAAGUCGAACGAAGAGCGAUGGAAGCUUGCUUCUAUCAAUCUUAGUGGCGUACGGGUGAGUAACGCGUAAUCAACCUGCCCUUCAGAGGGGGACAACAGUUGGAAACGACUGCUAAUACCGCAUACGAUCUGACCUCGGCAUCGAGGAUAGAUGAAAGGUGGCCUCUACAUGUAAGCUAUCACUGAAGGAGGGGAUUGCGUCUGAUUAGCUAGUUGGAGGGGUAACGGCCCACCAAGGCGAUGAUCAGUAGCCGGUCUGAGAGGAUGAACGGCCACAUUGGGACUGAGACACGGCCCAGACUCCUACGGGAGGCAGCAGUGGGGAAUCUUCCGCAAUGGACGAAAGUCUGACGGAGCAACGCCGCGUGAGUGAUGACGGCCUUCGGGUUGUAAAGCUCUGUUAAUCGGGACGAAAGGCCUUUUUGCGAAUAGUGAGAAGGAUUGACGGUACCGGAAUAGAAAGCCACGGCUAACUACGUG